CCAGUGAAGUGAAAGCAGCAGACUGUGCAGCUCCCAUGAAGUUUGCCCAUGUAGCUAAUGACAGUGGUGCAGGAUAUCUUUCCAAUGUGAAUCCCUGCAACGCCUCAACACUAUGUAUGCCAGAAACCUUUAUUAGCAUGUAUUGGAAAUUUUGGCUAGGGAUUGAGAUACCUGCAUUGUGAACCAUAUUGACCAGGAUAUGCAACUUGCUAUUGAAAGUAUUGGACCUUUUAUCCAAUUUUUGUGAAAGUCACUUUUCGUGAGGUGUAUUGGAGGUUCCCACAAGCUUUUGAUCGCUGGUCCUCUGUAUAAUGCUAUGGCCAUCGCCCCUGCUAAGGAUAUGAAAGUUCCAGUCGCUUUUGCUAAUCCACGUGGUUUUCGUAAGUUAAGAGUUUCCAGCCUGCAAAUGAUUGGGGAGUAUUACAAAGGAAGCUGUUGGAAUUUGAUUUCAAACCGAAUGCGUUACACGUGUUCUGAUAUCUAUCAAAUUACACGAGACCGACCUAUGUGAUUCUGCCUAUACCAAUGUGAAGAGCAUGAAGGCACAAAUCUGAUGCGAGAUUGCGAGAACAUGUGGCCCGUUUAAAAACAUUGGAGUGCUGUUUUUCUUUUUUUCGUGUUCUCCGGAGCUCACAGAUUCCAAAUUUCUGGUCUUUUAUAGAGAAAUCUGAGAAUAAUGGCUCAUGCUGGGUUUACAUCAGGUACCAGCACAGCUAACAACUACUCUAACAGCUAAAAGCUACUACUACAGCUAUUGUUGCCGAACACGCACUACAAUAACUUGUAUUCUUUAUUCAAAUUUCCUUGCUAUUUUCCUUUUUAGCUUGCCACCAUUCGUCCAUCAAUCUUUCUUCAUUUUCUGGAAAAAACUCGUACGAACACUUUUAAAAUGACUAUGUUGAAAACCUAUUGUGAAAAAUACAAGCUAAAAGCAUAACGUGAUAGUGUAUACUUUCUUUAUUUUUUUUACUUGUAAUUGUUUGAUCAGGUCGGCUUAGCAAUUUAAAAAAAAAAAUAGGAGUAAGAAAUAAACAUAUCAAAUUAUAUAGGUUUGUGUCAAUUGUGUGUAGGUCAGUUAAAAUCUUCUCAUUUUUUGUGGGAACAAACUAAUUACUUUCUUCUUUGCAGGGUUUGUUGAUAAAAAAUAUUCAUCAUUAUUUGCAUGUUUAAAAUCCAACAAAAUCGUGGAAAAUACUGUUCUUGCUACCUCUGCAGUCAUCUUGAUUGACAUUUGAAAACUCAUUAAAUUUCUCAAGAAUCUAGAAGUAAAAAGAACAAUUGCUAUUUUUUUUUAAAAGCAUGCAUUCAUGAGGUUAUAACUCUAUCAAUAGAAGAAUAAUAAACAAAGGAAAGAUUUGCUUUUACCAUAGAUCCUAAAGUAUGCCCUUUGUCUAACAUUUUUUUUAAAAAAAUCAAGUAAAUCUAGAAACUAUAAUUUUUAAAUUAGAGUUUAUUUUGUAAAAGACGGCCUAUUUUUAAAUUAAAACUAGUAUUUGGGUCCGGGCGUUAUUCUGGAUUGGAAUUGUAUUUCCGAACUUGAUAUGCAUUUUUUUUCAUUCUCACUAAAUUAUAUUAAGGAAAACUCAACAUUUAAAAGGUACAAAUGUAAUAAUGUUGAUACUUAAAGCAUGAUUAAAAGUUGGUUGAGAUGGUGAUUGUGUCAUGUAUAAUGGCAAGGGGUCAUUGGUUCAAAUUUUGUUGUAAAUUGAUUUUACUUUUGUUAAUUGACAUGACUUAUGUACACAUUGAACAAUUCUAAUGGAGUAACAGAUGUGCCACGUGGCGUGUAUAAAUUGUCAUGCACGCCUUUUAAUAUAUUUUUAUAGAUAGAUGAUUAGGCAAUAGUAAUCCAAUAUUAAAAAGAGAAUUAGUCAAUAAUGACCAGGUUAAUUUAUUUUGAUGAUUAGUUUAAUCUAUUUAGUUAUUAAGUCUACUUUUAUAUUGAAAUUAGAUUAAAUUAUUAUUGUUCAUUUAAAAAGAAGAAGAAAGAAGGUUUACUUAGUUCAAUGUAUGGCAAUAUGCAAUCAUAUUGAUAAUUCAAUUUGUCAAAAUUACAAAUUAUAAUAGUAUGUAAAAAGCAAAAUGUUGUUUUCAAUAUACAUUUAGGUAAUCAUUGGGCCUCAUUGGAUUCCCUAUUAACUUAGAUUUUUUGUGGUCCCUUGGAAGUCAGAUUUGUGAGGGUCAUCACUUAAAAGAGUUCAGUACAGAUGUCCAAAACAAGUUUCAUGGGUCACUCACUAAUCUAGCUAGGAUUACUAAUUGCAUGCUUAUGCUUGGUUUUUGCUGAUCAAUUUUAAUUAAACAAUUCAACUUAAAGAUUCAUUAACCAUCUUUUUAACUUUUGAAGUAUACUCCUACCCUCUUCAUUAGACUCAUCUAACUUUUGGAGUGUUAUUGUAUAGGUUUUGUAUAGAUCUAUAGAAUUAAAAAGCAUGCUAAAUCUAGUUAAUGCACGUCGGAUCAAAACGGAAAAGCGAUGCUUUAUUAUCAUCGGACUUCCCUUAUCAUGUUAGGAAAAAACAUGUUAAUCUUGUUUGUUCUUGUUUUAAUGCAUGUAGUUGUCUCAAUCUAGUCGUGAGAUUCAAAGCUCUAGUCAGUGUUGUUAGCAGAGCUGCAAGGAUCUCCUAGAACGUCCCAAGGAUGUAUUUGAAUUUUUAAUUAAUGCACGUUUCCGCGAUGUAAACAAAAUAAAGCAUGCUAAUACUAUUAAUGCAUAAUGAAGUUAGAUGAUUCUUUUACAAAGAUGUUGAUAAAGUGUGAUCUUAUUAGACAACCUCUUAAUAGACUAGUUUUAAGUAAAUGGUAAUUUGGUUGAACAUACAAGAAGUCAUAUAUACUUUAUAGAACAUUACUUUUCUCAUAUAGGUGUAAACUUUUGAUUAUGAUAUUUAGGAGGGCCUUUUUUUAUUUUAUUUCAAGGUAUACUUAAGAAGACCCAAAUAAGUAACUUUUUCCAUUUUAAUCUUUUUAGUAAAUGUAAUUUUUUAACCAAACCAUUUCAUAUCUUUUUCACUUUACUAAAUUGUGCGACACAAGGGACAUGAUUUUGACUUAAAUGCUUCGAGGAAUUUAUUUAACGAACCUAUUUACAUGUAGGGGAGGUGGAUAGUUGAGUGCACAAUCUAGGCCGGCUAUUCAAAGACUCAAAGUUUGAUUUUAACAUAUACUUUUUCAUCCGUUCUUUUCCUAUCGCAACAAUGAGAUUUUUACAUUAUUCACUCAUUGCUUUUUACUUAUUUAUUGUGAUUUUUUACAUACGAAAAAAUAUAGUUAUAUGGAGUUUUGGUAGAUUCGUCUCGAUAUAUACUUUCAAAAUAUCAAAUUUUUGUAAUUUUUACUAAAAAUUAAUUAAAGAUAUUAAUAGUUGAAGUUGUGCAUUGAUAAGCGUGAAAACUCAAUUGUUGCAAUAAAAAAAGAACGGAGGAAUUAGUUUUGUAUUCGUCAUUCUAUGGUGAAUUCUAUAUUGUGGAAUGUGGAGUAAAAUGUGUCCAAUAGUCAUAUUUUGGAAGAAAAGUACUCACUCCGUAACAAAAUAGAUGUUACACUUUCAAAAACAUACUUUUCUAGCCAAUUUUUUUUUGAAGAGGAUAGAGAUAGAGAGAAAGAAAAAAGGGGACAUAUGUGAUACGAGAGAGAUAGAGAGAGAUUAUUGCCUAAAAAAUGUAUUUUUUGGUUAGAAAUUAGAAUCAAUAGAAAAUUCACAUUUAUAUCUAAAACCCAAGACAAACAAAUGUCAUGAUGUCACAUGUACUCUCCCCUCCCCCACACAAUCAAAUGAGACAUUAAGUAAUAAAAAUGCGUGUUUCAAAAUUCGAACUCAUGACGACCUCUUAUUUGAUAUGAUAAUGCAUUAACUAACUAAGCUACAAUACUCAUGUUGGUCUUUGUGAGGGAAAAAAUCAUUUAAAAACAAGAUACUAUUUCUAUUUUUGAAGACUUCAAAUGCACGUUGGUAAAUAAUUUAGUGCGUGUCGUCCGGGACAAGAACUAGUUGAGCUUGAAAAACGAUGCAAAAUGCAUUACCAAAAUUGCACAUGUAUCCUCAGUCAUUCUUACCAUUUCGAAAACUUAAUUAAUUUCUCUCUACAUAUAUGACCAUAUUAUCAAUUACGAUUGGGCCAUACUCCAGACUCAGGCCUAACAAGUUUGAGUACCAGAGGCCCCAGCUAACUGGGCCCAGGACCCAAUUGUUAAGUCCAUCCCAGUAUAUCCACUUGGCAGAUGAUACAAAAUGUGCAUGCAGUUGAGCCACAAUACCUUUUUAAUAAUUUAAUUAACUUUGGUUUUAUAAAAGCAUUAAUAAUAAUCAUUGAAAAGUUUUAGGCUUUAAAAAUGUUAACAUUUUCAUUACAAGGUAUAAUGCAUCAUGCAUGAUAUUCAACUUUAGGAAACCUUUUGACCUUUAACCAAGCUACUAAGCUAGGUAUGAAGGUACAUAAUGUAUAUAGUUGACUCAUAACACAUUCAAAGGUUACUCUAAGAAGAGAUAUAUGAAUAAACUAUUAUAUAUAAUGAAAAAGUUGAUCAUAAUCUACCAUUUAACUUUGUUUAUAGAUCAAAAUCUCCUAAUUCAUUCUUCAAGAAUGACAAUUGUGUCUUGAUUUUCUCAUUUCUCAUCUUAGACAAUUCUUAUACUUCCUUCGUUUGAAAAUAAUUGAACCAUUUCAU